rnacentral:rRNA from 1 species
CAGUCGCCGCGGGAAUACGGAGGGUGCAAGCGUUAAUCGGAAUUACUGGGCGUAAAGCGCACGCAGGCGGUCUGACAAGUCAGAUGUGAAAUCCCCGGGCUUAACCUGGGAACUGCAUUUGUGACUGCAAGGCUAGAGUACGGCAGAGGGGGAUGGAAUUCCGCGUGUAGCAGUGAAAUGCGUAGAUAUGCGGAGGAACACCGAUGGCGAAUGCAAUCCCCUGGGCCUGUACUGACGCUCAUGCACGAAAGCGUGGGGAGCAAACAGGAUUAGAGACCCCCGUAGUCCCUGUCUCUUAUAC